rnacentral:sRNA from 1 species
GACCGAAGGCGGCUAGGGACUGGCUGAAGACGAAGCGAAAUAUUAAAAAGGGAGCCGUUCCCCGCUCUAUCCCCAAUCUAGCGGAGGUAAAGAAGAAAGGCAAAAUGAAGAAGCUCGGCCAAGCAAUGGAAGAAGACCUAAUCGUGGGACUGCAAGGGAUGGAGCUGAACCUUGAGGCUGAAGCACUGGCUGGCACUGGCUUGGUGUUGGAUGAGCAGCUAAAUGAAUUCCAUUGCCUCUGGGAUGACAGCUUCCCGGAAGGCCCUGAGCGGCUCCAUGCCAUCAAGGAGCAACUGAUCCAGGAGGGCCUCCUAGAUCGCUGCGUGUCCUUUCAGGCCCGGUUUGCUGAAAAGGAAGAGCUGAUGUUGGUUCACAGCCUAGAAUAUAUUGAUCUGAUGGAAACAACCCAGUACAUGAAUGAGGGAGAACUCCGUGUCCUAGCAGACACCUACGACUCAGUUUAUCUGCAUCCGAACUCAUACUCCUGUGCCUGCCUGGCCUCAGGCUCUGUCCUCAGGCUGGUGGAUGCGGUCCUGGGGGCUGAGAUCCGGAAUGGCAUGGCCAUCAUUAGGCCUCCUGGACAUC